rnacentral:rRNA from 1 species
UGCAUUUAUCGGUGCAAAACCAAACUUGUUUGGUUGUUUACUCUGGAUAAACGAGCUUAUCGCACGGUCUUGUACCGGCGAAACUAUUGUCAAGUAUCUGCUUUAUCAACUGUCGUUGGUAGUGUAUUGGACUACCAUGGUGUUGACGGAUAACGGAGAAUCAGGGUUCUACUCCGGAGAGGGAGCCUUAGAAACGGCUACCAUGUCUAAGGAUAGCAGCAGGCACGAAAAUUACCCACUGUCAAAAUGAUGAGGUAGUAACGAGAAAUAACGAGAUCGUUCUCUUUGAGGUCGAUCAUUGGAAUGAGUACAAUUCAGACACUUUAACGAGUAUCUACGAGAGGGCAAGUCUGGUGCCAGCAGCCGCGGUAAUUCCAGCUCUCGUAAGGUAUAGAAUUAUUGCUGUGGUUAAAAAGUUCGUAGUUGAAUUUAAAAGUUGGCUCGGGUCUACCUAUAUGGUUAGUACUCGUUGCCUUCAGUUUGUUGUGUUGUGUGUUCCUUCAUAUUUAUAUGUUGUUCACGCUCACAACAGGAUUACUUUGAACGAUUCAAGUGCUUAAAGCACGACUUACGUCCGAAUAUCGGUGCAUGGAAUAAUGAAAUAAGGCUUCGGCCAGGUUUUGUUGGUUUUCUUGGCUGAAACAAUGGUUAACAGGAACAGCCGGGGGCAUCCGUAUCGUUACGCGAGAGGUGAAAUUCGUGGACCGUAGCGAGACGACCUAAAGCGAAGGCACUUGCCAAGAGUGUUUUCAUUAAUCAAGAACGAAAGUCAGAGGUUCGAAGGCGAUUAGAUAC